rnacentral:lncRNA from 1 species
GCAGCAGUAGCAGUAGCUUCGGUGUGUUUCUGCUCAACAUUCUGCUCAUUAACAGAGUAAAACAGCAGAUAUUAAACUCAAACUGACUCUGGAUCUGUUCAGUAAACACGCAUCUACUGUCCAGCUGGAAAGAGCGCGAAUCCAGUCAGAAAGAGCGCGAAUAUUCCUGCCCUGCUGAAGGCGACGGACACUCUUUUCCUCUCAGCGCCAAAUAAGUGUGUUUAGUUAUUAAAUGAUGUCUUCAACACACACUGCUGUCAAGACUGAGUUUAUAAAAGAGGAGAGCGAAGAAGUGCGGAUUCCUGAGCCGUGUGGAGAUGAAGAAGAAGAAGCCUUAACCCUGAAGAAGGAAGAGCCGGAGGAACACACAGAUCAGAUCGAGGUGAAGGAGGAAGCUCAGAUGGAGGAAAGCGAAGAGCUGAGCGAUGACGAGGAUCUCGGGGAUUAUGAGCCGCCUCAGUUCUUGAGCUGCUCAAAGAUCGUGAGCAGAUUUUCACAACUACGAGUUCAGAAAGGAAAAGGCUUUUUCUUCUCCUGCCUCGAGUGCCAGAUGAGCUUCGAGACCAAGGAGCAUCUGAUGGAGCACUUCAGGGUCCACACUGGAGAAAGCUCCUCGCAGACGCACACCAGCACCGUGCAGAAACAGCCGAUGUUCUGCCAUCAGUGCUUCAGGAAGUUCUCCUGUAGGAAACAUCUGCUGGAGCACUACAGAAUACACAAGGUGGAGAAGCCGUUCUCCUGUGAGCAAUGC